rnacentral:rRNA from 1 species
GUGAGGAAUAUUGCGCAAUGGAGGCAACUCUGACGCAGCCAUGCCGCGUGCAGGAAGAAGGCGCUACGCGUUGUAAACUGCUUUUAACCGGGAAGAAACCCCAGGACGUGUCCUGGGUUGACGGUACCGGAGGAAUAAGCACCGGCUAACUUCGUGCCAGCAGCCGCGGUAAUACGAAGGGUGCAAGCGUUAUCCGGAUUCAUUGGGUUUAAAGGGUGCGUAGGCGGCGCGUUAAGUCAGUGGUGAAAUCCUGCAGCUUAACUGUAGACUUGCCAUUGAUACUGGCGCUCUUGAGUGCGCUUGAAGUGGGCGGAAUGUGCCGUGUAGCGGUGAAAUGCUUAGAUAUGGCACAGAACACCAAUUGCGAAGGCAGCUCACUAAGGCGAUACUGACGCUGAGGCACGAAAGCGUGGGGAUCGAACAGGAUUAGAUACCCGGGUAGUCC